rnacentral:rRNA from 1 species
UACGUAGGGUGCGAGCGUUGUCCGGAAUUAUUGGGCGUAAAGGGCUCGUAGGCGGUUUGUCGCGUCUGCUGUGAAAACGCGAGGCUCAACCUCGCGCCUGCAGUGGGUACGGGCAGACUAGAGUGCGGUAGGGGAGAUUGGAAUUCCUGGUGUAGCGGUGGAAUGCGCAGAUAUCAGGAGGAACACCGGUGGCGAAGGCGGAUCUCUGGGCCAUUACUGACGCUGAGGAGCGAAAGCGUGGGGAGCGAACAGG